AGCGUCAUUAACCAACCUCUGAUCAAUAAGGUUCUGGUUGCUACCCGAGUCAAUAAGAGCGGAAAGAUUCUGAAAAGGACGGUGUGAAAUUAACGUGGCUGGCAAACUAAGUCUGGGGGUAAGAGAUCGGUCCGUCAGUCUCCCCUCAUUUUCUGACAGACCUGGCCUUUUGGCCCCGAGGGACGAAUUGGGCAGUUGGCAAGGAGAUGUUCUGGUGAGCCACAGUAAAAACACUGGUUAGAUUGGUGGCAUCUCAGUUUUUCCUCUGGGGAAAGACGAGUACGCCCAAUCUGCAUAGGUUCUAUUCCUAAACUUUGUGAAACUGAGGUGGGGCGAAUAGUUUCAGUGGUUUGGCUAGAGAGAUGGGACCUAACUGCGCUCUGUUCUAAUCGGGAUUUCUUUCUCUCUCUCAUUCGGUUAUCUAGUCUAACGGCUAACUUGAUUAACCCAUUCAAGGUCUUGGGCUCGUCGACCAAUGCUAACUCAUCCUUUAACGGAUCAUUUAAGGACUGGAAAAAGGCAGCUCUAAGAGCGCAGUCAUUCCAUCCAGAGGCUGCUGCAAGGAUGCGAAAAUCAAUGGAGAACUCAGCAACUGACUGGUUUCUUUGUUUGAUAUACCAUAAUUUCCGAGCAUCUGCGGUUAAGUCAUUUUCACAGGAAAAGACCUGUCGAAACUCCUCCUCAAACUCAGGGAAUGUACAACCAAAGUCCAAUCAUUUAGAAAAAUGCGCCUCUGCCCAUUGCAGGGCCUUUCCAGUGAGUAAUCCCAGAACAAAUAAAAUCUUUACAGAAUCACGUGGGAAAGAUUGUGGGGAGCGAUUGAAAACAAGAGUACAUUGGAGGAGGAAACCCUUACAAUCCCCUUUCUCCCCCGGAUAAUUUUUCAGGAUUAGGGGAAGGGACAUCACGAGAGUGCGGAAGUUGCUGCGAGACCAGAGAGGGUGAAGCACCCUCUACGGCCUGGGCGGUGAAAUUGCUCAAGGUCUGCUGAAACAUGGAGGCUAGUUCGACUUGCUGAUUGGUUUGUUUCUGCUGUUCAAAAAGAGAACGGAGGGAUGAGUCAUGGGUUAUGAUUUGGUGGUGUUGUUCAGAAAGAGUUCUCCUGAAUGCUUCUGCUAGGACGGGAUGGCCAGAGUGUUCUGUCAUAAUGUUUCAAACAGUUUUGACCCACAUGCAGAAAGCAAUUCAGGAGACUGAGUUUAACGGUAAUGAGUUUAUUUACAAUGUAAGGAAAUGUGCAGGGAACUGGAACUGGGAUACCAACUGUAAAAUAAACAGAACAGUAAGCAAGGAGUAACUCAGGAUCUGAAUUCUUAAAUAAUAAUUCUGUCUUACUGGAUAGAUGGGGAGAUCCGCCAGAGGGGGGUGGAGAGACCAAAGGGUUGUUUAUCCGUGAGACUGAGGAUGGUGAAUACUGGUGUGCCAGGAUGGUUAGCUGGUCCAAGAGUUUCUGAAGUUGGUGCAGUGGAUGGAGGAGGGUGGACAGGGUUCAUGGAGGGUGAUCCAAGGAGCGAAGAAAUCAGGAGGCUGCCAGCCGGUGUGAUCAAACGAAGUAACAAGAGGCUUGUGUCUUUGUUCAUGGAGCUGGAUCGCUUCUUUCCAGGAGAGGGUAAUCCAGACAGCGUUCAAUGCAGAAGGCAAAGUCAGGUUCAGGUAAUCCUGCAAGGUAACAGACACUGAUUACCUAAAGGUCAAGGCAAGGACAAGACAAAGGUAAUGUGGCUAAAGCUGUACCACUAAAGGCAACACUAUGGCAGUGAGUUGCUGGCAGCCUCCUCCUUAAAUAUUCCUCAGCAGGUAAUCAGGAGAAUAGAAAACACCUGUCACCUCUCCUCCAGGUUCCAUGCCAUCUAGAGGUUAAGCAUAGUAAACAGCACCAAACAAACAGACAUGGCUCAGAUCCUGACAUUUGUCCUUUUUUGUCAUUCUACAGUGUGUUAUUUAUUUAGAUAUUUUAUAAAAACCUUUGAAAGAACUGUUAAAGGUGGCAUUUAUUGUUAUCUUAAUACUUAAAAACACUGCUCAGACAUUUGUGGCCAAACCUAUUAAGAGCCACUGUGAAGUGCCUAAAGAGCCACAGGUUGCAGACCCCUAGUUUAGGUGGAAUGGUAAAUGCUUUAGCAGCACAGCAAAAACUAGAGUUGAAAAUUCAAAGUUAAAUGUUUCGGAGUUAAUUUUAACUCAUUAAGUGUUGUUUUAACAUAUCGAUUUAAAUGGUGACCAGUGUUUGAGCUAUUUCCCAGAGUUGUUUGCAUCGGUGUUGAAAAUAAUCUCCUUCCCCAUCUUCAAAGUCUUGGUUAAGUUCAGUCUGAAAACUGCUCCAUUCUGUUCUUCUCCUGCUGUUGUACACGGUAAGUGCAACUUCCUAAAUCUUCGGUCGACCAGUGUUAAAUUGAUGGAGUGAGUGAUGUGACUUUUUCUACUAAUUAAUACUUAACUGAAUGGCAGCUGAACGCAUCCAUUUUGCAAAAAAUGCACACAAUGUGCUAGCUAGCUGCCCCACGUGUGGGUUACUAGGUAGCAACUGCAGCACUUACAACUGUAACACUGUUGUAGCUCUAACUCUUACAAAAAAAUUAUUUAUCAGACCAUAUACUUAUGAAAAAUUAAGUUUUGUGUUUUUUUGCCAUUUAAAAUCAUGAGUUUGGCUGUGGGAAUGUAAAGGCUCCUGCCUAUUAGCCUUCUCAGUGGGACCGCUGAGACCUGCCCCAACCUCCAGACCAGCAUUGCACAAUGAGGGGAGAACUUGACUUGUGUUGUUUUGCAUUGUCUAGGUUAAUUCCAUGCCUCAGUACAAUGCUGAUCCAGGUUAAGUAUGGUGAGCAGCACAAGUAUGUGAAGUUGGAUGAGGGUGAAGGGCAUUUUGACUUUCAUCAGUUCCAUGAGAAAGUAAUUGGCAUCAGGCGGCAGGCAAAAUCUUUCAAAGUUACAUACAAGGAUGCAAAAGAUACUGAGGUUGAUGAAGAAAUAUUCAGUGAACUCAUUAGACAAGGCUGUGUUGUGCUGAAAGCUGUCUGCCACGAUGAGUUCUCAGAAUGGUCAUCUGCUUCUGAGUCUGACUCGAGCUUCAGCUCAAAUGCAUCAAGAUCAACAGUACUGAUGGAUGAGAUCCCAAGCAAGAAGCAAAAAGCUGAGAAUGCUAAUAAUGCUGUGUCUGCUAAAAAAGCUGGUUGAAGGUGUCCUACAGAGCAAGUCUGGUGGUGAAGAGGUUCUGCAGGAGUAUAAAACAACAGAAACCCUACCUGAUGCCACAAGAUGAAAAAUGGCACCUCCCUGCUAAAGCAGUCAGAGAGGAGUAUGCCCUGGUGAUAGUGACAGUCUUCCCAUCCCUCAAGGAUCCAUAUACCAAAAAAGGCUAUGAGCACUUUUAUGAUGCAGCAAGCAGCACAGGAUACAUUUCUUGGCGUCUUAGAACAGUACAAAGGAAGAUUCGAAGAGGAUCUCUUGUGCCACCAAGUAGCUCCAGUGACAUUUCAUCUGGAGGUCCAAAUACCCAGAGGACGAUGAUUGUUGACAGACAGCUUGAUGGGGAGCCAGGAGGCCUUAUCUCUGCUUAACCACACCACAGACAUGUCCCUGAUAUUUCAGAAGAUGAGAGAGACUUUUGAGCAUCGUCAGAAACUUAUUAAAGAUGCCAAUGGAAGAACUGAUAUUCUGACGACGUUCCCCAGGUUCCUUGACACAAAAGGAUUGAGUGAUCAAGACUUUAGUCUUCUAUUUAAUGAAGAAACCUCCUCAAGAUUGCUGCAGAAGUGGGACGUGUUCUUCACACCAAAUGUCAUCAAAGAAGCCAAUCAUCUCACUUCAACUCCUGAGUUGAGAAGUUUGGUGCAGUCAGCAGAAAGCCCUCAAGGAUAUGAUCAGGACAGGGCAUCCACCUAUGACCAAGAACUGGCCUCCUUGUUGCUGCUCUUACAUCUCCUUCCACCACCACCAGGAGGACUUCCCAUGAUGCCACUGGCCGUAUAAACCCCCACUUUUCCAAUGGUCCGAUCUCUUCUACACAGGUCACACAGGGACCUGGACAGAGAGGCCCAGCGCGCUAAUCUC